rnacentral:rRNA from 1 species
GCACAAGCGGUGGAGCAUGUGGUUCAAUUCGAAGCAACGCGCAGAACCUUACCAGCCUUUGACAUCCCGGUCGCGAGCACCAGAGAUGGAGCUCUUCAGUUCGGCUGGACCGGAGACAGGUGCUGCAUGGCUGUCGUCAGCUCGUGUCGUGAGAUGUUGGGUUAAGUCCCGCAACGAGCGCAACCCUCGCCCUUAGUUGCCAUCAUUUAGUUGGGCACUCUAAGGGGACUGCCGGUGAUAAGCCGGAGGAAGGUGGGGAUGACGUCAAGUCCUCAUGGCCCUUACAGGCUGGGCUACACACGUGCUACAAUGGCGGUGACAGAGGGACGCAAAGGAGUAAUCCUUCGCAAAUCUCAAAAAGCCGUCUCAGUUCGGAUUGUGCUCUGCAACUCGAGCACAUGAAGUUGGAAUCGCUAGUAAUCGCAGAUCAGCACGCUGCGGUGAAUACGUUCCCGGGC